UAAGUGUAAAAAAGACUUCUAAUCUUUAAUGAGCAACUGUGCUACGCUUAA
rnacentral:tRNA from 1 species